rnacentral:piRNA from 1 species
UUGAAGUGAAAAGCCACUUGGUUAGCCUA